GAUGAACGCUGGCGGCGUGCCUAAUACAUGCAAGUCGAGCGAACAGACGAGGAGCUUGCUCCUCUGACGUUAGCGGCGGACGGGUGAGUAACACGUGGAUAACCUACCUAUAAGACUGGGAUAACUUCGGGAAACCGGAGCUAAUACCGGAUAAUAUAUUGAACCGCAUGGUUCAAUAGUGAAAGACGGUUUUGCUGUCACUUAUAGAUGGACCCGCGCCGCAUUAGCUAGUUGGUAAGGUAACGGCUUACCAAGGCAACGAUGCGUAGCCGCCUGAGAGGGUGAUCGGCCACACUGGAACUGAGACACGGUCCAGACUCCUACGGGAGGCAGCAGUAGGGAAUCUUCCGCAAUGGGCGAAAGCCUGACGGAGCAACGCCGCGUGAGUGAUGAAGGUCUUCGGAUCGUAAAACUCUGUUAUUAGGGAAGAACAAAUGUGUAAGUAACUAUGCACGUCUUGACGGUACCUAAUCAGAAAGCCACGGCUAACUACGUG
rnacentral:rRNA from 1 species